GUGAGGGAACGCGUCGACCCCUUGACUGGGUGAGGAGGACACGGCAUGUGAAUUGGGAGUGCUGUUGAACAGUGACCUAUGUGACAUACUGGGUAAACUCAGCCCCUUCCCCCUCCGGGCUGAUGCAGGACUACAGUCAGCAGAUAUCCUGGGAAGAAGGGAGGACAGUGACAAGAACCAGCAUCUUAUAGCCUGGCUGCCAGGAAGCCAGCCCUAGAGAAUGACGUUCAGGACAAAACACAACCCAUGUUCCACUUGGCACCAAGUCCUCACUGUUUUCCUCUCUGCCCCCAUCUUCCACCUUUGGAUCUCUGGCCAGUCGAAUACACAGAUGUGGAGCCAGUGGACACUGGGGGCCAACUGUACAUCCACGUGGAUUCUG
rnacentral:lncRNA from 1 species